UGAGUAAUGUCUGGGAAACUGCCUGAUGGAGGGGGAUAACUACUGGAAACGGUAGCUAAUACCGCAUAACGUCGCAAGACCAAAGAGGGGGACCUUCGGGCCUCUUGCCAUCAGAUGUGCCCAGAUGGGAUUAACCUAGUAGGUGGGGUAACGGCUCACCUAGGCGACGAUCCCUAGCUGGUCUGAGAGGGAUGACCAGCCACACUGGAACUGAGACACGGUCCAGACUCCUACGGGAGGCAGCAGUGGGGAAUAUUGCACAAUGGGCGCAAGCCUGAUGCAACCAUGCCGCGUGGUGUAAGAAGGGCGUCUUGGUGUUGUAACUUUUCAGGGGGGGGGAGGAGGGAGAGGGUGUUAACAUCCUUGUCGAUUGACGCCCCCCGCAAAAGAAGCACCGGCUAACUCCGUGCCAGCAGCCGCGGUAAUACGGAGGGUGCAAGCGUUAAUCUUAAUUACUGGGCGUAAAGCGCACGCAGGCGGUCUGUCAAGUCGGAUGUGAAAUCCCCGGG
rnacentral:rRNA from 1 species